rnacentral:rRNA from 1 species
UACGUAGGGUGCGAGCGUUAAUCGGAAUUACUGGGCGUAAAGCGUGCGCAGGCGGAUGCUUAAGUCAGAUGUGAAAUCCCCGGGCUUAACCUGGGAAUUGCAUUUGAAACUGGGUGUCUGGAGUGCGGCAGAGGGGGGUGGAAUUCCACGUGUAGCAGUGAAAUGCGUAGAGAUGUGGAGGAACACCGAUGGCGAAGGCAGCCCCCUGGGCCUGCACUGACGCUCAUGCACGAAAGCGUGGGGAGCAAACAGG